GAGUAGGGCGGGACACGUGGUAUCCUGUCUGAAUAUGGGGGGACCAUCCUCCAAGGCUAAAUACUCCUGACUGACCGAUAGUGAACCAGUACCGUGAGGGAAAGGCGAAAAGAACCCCGGCGAGGGGAGUGAAAAAGAACCUGAAACCGUGUACGUACAAGCAGUGGGAGCACCUUCGUGGUGUGACUGCGUACCUUUUGUAUAAUGGGUCAGCGACUUAUAUUCUGUAGCAAGGUUAACCGUAUAGGGGAGCCGAAGGGAAACCGAGUCUUAACUGGGCGUUAAGUUGCAGGGUAUAGACCCGAAACCCGGUGAUCUAGCCAUGGGCAGGUUGAAGGUUGGGUAACACUAACUGGAGGACCGAACCGACUAAUGUUGAAAAAUUAGCGGAUGACUUGUGGCUGGGGGUGAAAGGCCAAUCAAACCGGGAGAUAGCUGGUUCUCCCCGAAAGCUAUUUAGGUAGCGCCUCGUGAACUCAUCUUCGGGGGUAGAGCACUGUUUCGGCUAGGGGGCCAUCCCGGCUUACCAACCCGAUGCAAACUACGAAUACCGAAGAAUGUUAUCACGGGAGACACACGGCGGGUGCUAACGUCCGUCGUGAAGAGGGAAACAACCCAGACCGCCAGCUAAGGUCCCAAAGUCAUGGUUAAGUGGGAAACGAUGUGGGAAGGCACAGACAGCCAGGAUGUUGGCUUAGAAGCAGCCAUCAUUUAAAGAAAGCGUAAUAGCUCACUGGUCGAGUCGGCCUGCGCGGAAGAUGUAACGGGGCUAAACCAUG
rnacentral:rRNA from 3 species